rnacentral:rRNA from 1 species
AUUGAACGCUGGCGGAAUGCUUUACACAUGCAAGUCGAGCGGCAGCGCGGCCUUCGGGCUGGCGGCGAGCGGCGAACGGGUGAGUAAUGCAUCGGAACAUGCCCAGUCGUGGGGGAUAACACUUCGAAAGAAGUGCUAAUACCGCAUACGUCCUGAGGGGGAAAGCGGGAGAUCGCAAGACCUCGCGCGAUUGGAGUGGCCGAUGUCAGAUUAGCUAGUUGGUGGGGUAAAGGCCUACCAAGGCGACGAUCUGUAGCUGGUCUGAGAGGAUGAUCAGCCACACUGGGACUGAGACACGGCCCAGACUCCUACGGGAGGCAGCAGUGGGGAAUUUUGGACAAUGGGGGCAACCCUGAUCCAGCCAUUCCGCGUGAGUGAAGAAGGCCUUCGGGUUGUAAAGCUCUUUCGGCAGGAACGAAACGGUGGGCUCUAACAUAGUCCGCUAAUGACGGUACCUGAAGAAGAAGCACCGGCUAACUACGUG